GCAACAGCUAAAGUGGGAAGCUAGGGCUCUCCUGUAACCGGAAACGCUCUAUAUGCCGGGCUGAAAAAUGCUGUUGAGGGCUCGUCGAGGAAGAUACGCUCUGUCUGGAAAGCGUCGAAGCAUCGCCCCAUGAGAUUGUGCACACCCGAGGCGUCUUUGGAGGAAGGCGUUAGAAGGGUUGAGGUCAAAAUGGGUUAGGCACGGAAGUGAGCAGCCCUAAGGCCGAUGCAUGAUGCCCAUGGCAAGCGGUGUGGAGCUUAAGGGCAGUAAAACGGCUUCCAAAACGAGUUCGAACUGCAUGCUGCUAA
rnacentral:SRP_RNA from 1 species